CCUAGAGUUGUAGGCCUUGCCUGCCUAUCUCUUACCCAUGUCUUUUGAGUACCUUACGUUUCCUCGGUGGGUUCGCCCACCGAUUGGACAAAUUAAACCCUUUGCAGUUGAAAUCAGCGUCUGAAAAAACUUAAUAGUUA
rnacentral:misc_RNA from 1 species